AGGGGGCUGGGUGGCGCCGGCCGGGCCUGGGGCCGCCCGCGGCGUGCGUCGUCCCCGCCGUCACUGCGUCGUCCCGCUGCCGCAGCGGAGAGACCGCCCCCUCCCCCACCCGCGGGGCCCCUCGCGAUCACGUGGAUCCUGCGGGCGGACGGAACUCUGUCUUGCCGUCCCCAGGCCCGGCGGCCUUGUGAGCCCGCGAGCUCGGAUGACGGCCCCCGGGGCGCCCUGGGGGAGGGGGGGGGGGAGCUUCCCCUCCCCCCAGGGCUUCUGGGCCGGGACCGCGCGCCCCACCCCCACCCCCCUCCCCGAUAGGUCAACUGCAGGACUGCGGGCCUUCCGCGGCCAUCCCGGAAGGGGAGCUUGGGGCAGCGGCCCCCGCCCGAGCGCUCGCGCUUGGAGGCCCCUUCCUGGGGAGGUUCUGGAGCCCCGUGACUCCCCCUCCCCCAAGGUCACGGGGUCGGGGAGCAGGGGUGGAUUGCAGCGUCCGGAAGGAGAACAAAGGGCUCUCGGGGAAACAUUUCUCAGGGUUUAAAGUGAGGGGAGAGAAGCUGCCAGAAGCUGUCCUGGUCCCCAGAGACGGCAAACGCUGGGCAUAAAGCCCCCGGCCAGGGGGCGCCAGAGUGCCUCUCGCAAGGCCCUUGGGGGGGAGGGGGGCGCGCCCAGAACCGCCUGCAGGCUCCCUGCGGGGGCCUCGGGGCCCCGUCUGCAAAAUGAGCUAGAGCAGGCCGGGCCGUCCCUGUGUUCGUGCCAAGAAAGCCCCAGAUGGAGCCGCAGGGAGGGACUGGGCAGGGAAGACGGACUUCUGGGAAGGUCCGAGAGGAGCAGGCCUCGCUGGGGGGGAGCCUCCGGCUGCAGGGGCCGCCAUGACCCGUUAGCGGCGGCCGCCCCGCCCCUUGCUCCCUCGGCCGUGCUCCUUCAUGCAGAAAUGGAAGCCAGUUGUGACUGCGCCCUCCCGGUCCCCGCCAAGCAGCUGGGAAGCAGGAGCAGAGAGGGGCAGGGAGCUGGAGGCCUCUCUAGCUUCUAAUUUCCACCCAAGAAAGGCUGACCAGCGCCUGCCAAGUAGUGGCAAACCACAGGAAUAAAACCUCUCGGCGAGAGUGAAGCGAGUGCAACCAGAACCUCGUACGCAGUAGCAGCAACUUUGGGCCCCGAUCAACAUGAUGGAUUCGGCUCCGGGACAGCUCCAAAAGCCUCAUUUUGGAAAAUGCCACCCUCGCCUAAAGAACUAUGGAAUCCGAAAGCAGGUCGAAGCAGACUCUUCACUUUUUCUUUCUUUCUCCAGGUUUUCCCUUUUGUUCCAAAUAGUUCCAUGACAGGACUAAUGUAGAACUUUACUAACACGAUUGCACAUGUGAUCUCUCACACUGCUUGCUGUCUUGGAGAGGGGAGGGGAGGAGAAAAAUGAAACUAGCUUGGUGUUGUUACUAUACAAUUGUAUGUAGUCACAAUGUAUAUUAUAUGUGAAUAUGUCUUUAUAUGUAUAUGAAUGUUCAUCUAUAUAAUUGAAAAAAAUUUACUAUGAAGGAUUGAAAAUUCAUUGAGCCAGAAGUGCCCUCUCUUCAGCCUGUGCCCUGUCUGCCCUCAUCUCCAACUAGCCUAUCCCAGAAAAAAAGACACAAAUAAAAACAUCAUAGGGCA